rnacentral:rRNA from 1 species
GGUUAAGCGACUAAGCGUACACGGUGGAUGCCCUGGCAGUCAGAGGCGAUGAAGGACGUGCUAAUCUGCGAUAAGCGUCGGUGAGGUGAUAUGAACCGUUAUAACCGGCGAUUUCCGAAUGGGGAAACCCAGUGUGUUUCGACACACUAUCAUUAACUGAAUCCAUAGGUUAAUGAGGCGAACCGGGGGAACUGAAACAUCUAAGUACCCCGAGGAAAAGAAAUCAACCGAGAUUCCCCCAGUAGCGGCGAGCGAACGGGGAGGAGCCCAGAGCCUGAAUCAGUGUGUGUGUUAGUGGAAGCGUCUGGAAAGGCGCGCGAUACAGGGUGACAGCCCCGUACACAAAAAUGCACAUAUUGUGAGCUCGAUGAGUAGGGCGGGACACGUGGUAUCCUGUCUGAAUAUGGGGGGACCAUCCUCCAAGGCUAAAUACUCCUGACUGACCGAUAGUGAACCAGUACCGUGAGGGAAAGGCGAAAAGAACCCCGGCGAGGGGAGUGAAAAAGAACCUGAAACCGUGUACGUACAAGCAGUGGGAGCCUCUUAAUGGGGUGACUGCGUACCUUUUGUAUAAUGGGUCAGCGACUUAUAUUCUGUAGCAAGGUUAACCGAAUAGGGGAGCCGAAGGGAAACCGAGUCUUAACUGGGCGUUAAGUUGCAGGGUAUAGACCCGAAACCCGGUGAUCUAGCCAUGGGCAGGUUGAAGGUUGGGUAACACUAACUGGAGGACCGAACCGACUAAUGUUGAAAAAUUAGCGGAUGACUUGUGGCUGGGGGUGAAAGGCCAAUCAAACCGGGAGAUAGCUGGUUCUCCCCGAAAGCUAUUUAGGUAGCGCCUCGUGAAUUCAUCUCCGGGGGUAGAGCACUGUUUCGGCAAGGGGGUCAUCCCGACUUACCAACCCGAUGCAAACUGCGAAUACCGGAGAAUGUUAUCACGGGAGACACACGGCGGGUGCUAACGUCCGUCGUGAAGAGGGAAACAACCCAGACCGCCAGCUAAGGUCCCAAAGUCAUGGUUAAGUGGGAAACGAUGUGGGAAGGCCCAGACAGCCAGGAUGUUGGCUUAGAAGCAGCCAUCAUUUAAAGAAAGCGUAAUAGCUCACUGGUCGAGUCGGCCUGCGCGGAAGAUGUAACGGGGCUAAACCAUGCACCGAAGCUGCGGCAGCGACACUAUGUGUUGUUGGGUAGGGGAGCGUUCUGUAAGCCUGUGAAGGUGGCCUGUGAGGGUUGCUGGAGGUAUCAGAAGUGCGAAUGCUGACAUAAGUAACGAUAAAGCGGGUGAAAAGCCCGCUCGCCGGAAGACCAAGGGUUCCUGUCCAACGUUAAUCGGGGCAGGGUGAGUCGACCCCUAAGGCGAGGCCGAAAGGCGUAGUCGAUGGGAAACAGGUUAAUAUUCCUGUACUUGGUGUUACUGCGAAGGGGGGACGGAGAAGGCUAUGUUGGCCGGGCGACGGUUGUCCCGGUUUAAGCGUGUAGGCUGGUUUUCCAGGCAAAUCCGGAAAACCAAGGCUGAGGCGUGAUGACGAGGCACUACGGUGCUGAAGUGACAAAUGCCCUGCUUCCAGGAAAAGCCUCUAAGCAUCAGGUAACAUCAAAUCGUACCCCAAACCGACACAGGUGGUCAGGUAGAGAAUACCAAGGCGCUUGAGAGAACUCGGGUGAAGGAACUAGGCAAAAUGGUGCCGUAACUUCGGGAGAAGGCACGCUGAUAUGUAGGUGAAGCGACUUGCUCGUGGAGCUGAAAUCAGUCGAAGAUACCAGCUGGCUGCAACUGUUUAUUAAAAACACAGCACUGUGCAAACACGAAAGUGGACGUAUACGGUGUGACGCCUGCCCGGUGCCGGAAGGUUAAUUGAUGGGGUUAGCGGUAACGCGAAGCUCUUGAUCGAAGCCCCGGUAAACGGCGGCCGUAACUAUAACGGUCCUAAGGUAGCGAAAUUCCUUGUCGGGUAAGUUCCGACCUGCACGAAUGGCGUAAUGAUGGCCAGGCUGUCUCCACCCGAGACUCAGUGAAAUUGAACUCGCUGUGAAGAUGCAGUGUACCCGCGGCAAGACGGAAAGACCCCGUGAACCUUUACUAUAGCUUGACACUGAACAUUGAGCCUUGAUGUGUAGGAUAGGUGGGAGGCUUUGAAGUGUGGACGCCAGUCUGCAUGGAGCCGACCUUGAAAUACCACCCUUUAAUGUUUGAUGUUCUAACGUUGGCCCGUAAUCCGGGUUGCGGACAGUGUCUGGUGGGUAGUUUGACUGGGGCGGUCUCCUCCUAAAGAGUAACGGAGGAGCACGAAGGUUGGCUAAUCCUGGUCGGACAUCAGGAGGUUAGUGCAAUGGCAUAAGCCAGCUUGACUGCGAGCGUGACGGCGCGAGCAGGUGCGAAAGCAGGUCAUAGUGAUCCGGUGGUUCUGAAUGGAAGGGCCAUCGCUCAACGGAUAAAAGGUACUCCGGGGAUAACAGGCUGAUACCGCCCAAGAGUUCAUAUCGACGGCGGUGUUUGGCACCUCGAUGUCGGCUCAUCACAUCCUGGGGCUGAAGUAGGUCCCAAGGGUAUGGCUGUUCGCCAUUUAAAGUGGUACGCGAGCUGGGUUUAGAACGUCGUGAGACAGUUCGGUCCCUAUCUGCCGUGGGCGCUGGAGAACUGAGGGGGGCUGCUCCUAGUACGAGAGGACCGGAGUGGACGCAUCACUGGUGUUCGGGUUGUCAUGCCAAUGGCACUGCCCGGUAGCUAAAUGCGGAAGAGAUAAGUGCUGAAAGCAUCUAAGCACGAAACUUGCCCCGAGAUGAGUUCUCCCUGAGACUUAGAGUCUCCUGAAGGAACGUUGAAGACGACGACGUUGAUAGGCCGGGUGUGUAAGCGCAGCGAUGCGUUGAGCUAACCGGUACUAAUGAACCGUGAGGCUUAACCUU